CUCAGCGGUAGAGCACUCCUAUGGUAAGUGGUAAGGCGUAAGCCCUCGGUUCAAAUCCGACAAGGGACU
rnacentral:tRNA from 1 species